rnacentral:pre_miRNA from 1 species
CAGUGUCUCCUGCUCCGCCCGCUCUCCCGCCACGUGGUGGCCAGGCGAGAGCCUCGGGGUGGCCC